AGAGUUUGAUCAUGGCUCAGGACGAACGCUGGCGGCGUGCUUAACACAUGCAAGUCGAACGAGAGUCACUGGAAGGAGUUUUCGGACAACGGAAGGUGAGGACAGUGGCGGACGGGUGAGUAACGCGUGAGGAACCUGCCUUUUCAGAGGGGGGACAACAGUUGGAAACGACUGCUAAUACCGCAUGACACAUAGAGAUCGCAUGGUUUUUAUGUCAAAGAUUUAUCGCUGAAAGAUGGCCUCGCG
rnacentral:rRNA from 1 species